rnacentral:rRNA from 1 species
GCAAGUCGAUCGAGAAAGCAUCUUCGGAUGUGAGUAGAGUGGCGCACGGGUGAGGAACGCGUAGGUGAUCUACCUUUUGGCGGGGAAUAACUAAGAGAAAUUUUAGCUAAUACCGCGUAAGUAGAUAUUUUUGAAGAUUUAUCUAGAAAGGAUGCCUCUGUAUAUGCAUCCACCGAAAGAUGAGCCUGCGUGACAUUAGCUUGAUGGUGGGGUAAAGGCCUACCAUGGCGACGAUGUCUAACUGGUCUGAGAGGAUGAUC